AUGGUGCCCGGAACUCAGGGAGGGGACCCCACCUCCUACUUCCUGGGGCACCGGCCACACCCUGCCCUGGGGUGCGCUGGGCAGGCCACUUCCUUCUCCCGCCGGGGCUGCAACCCCAGAAACUGCUGGAUAGGGGCGAGGACAAGAGGGCGCAGGAUGGGUAAAUUCUGUACGACCCCCGGUCAACUCUCUCUUCUCGCAGCUCUGGUCCCAAGGCUGGUGCAGGCCCAACCCCUGGCCCAGCGGAAGUCGUGGCUGGUGGGGCUGGGGGCUGCGCUGGCCUUCCUCUUCCUCAUCUUUGUCCUCACCUUGGUCUAUGCCGUCUGGUGCCGGGAGUCCCAGGACAGCAGUGAAGAGAAGGAAGAGGAGACUGUGAGAAAGGAGAAGGGAGAGGACGACUGGGGGCUGGAACUGGAGGAGACAGAGGGGCCUCUGAACCAUGAAGCAAUGGCAAGUUCCUCCACAUGAAGUCUUCCCACUCAUCUCCUCCAGGCAGUCCUCCAGGGAUGCCCCAAUGCCUUCUCCACACCCUAUCAGCAAAGGACCUGGUCCUGGGGCCAGUAAGAUGACUCUCUGGGACUCAGAGGUCUCAGAACCCGCCCCAAAUCCCUCUCAGAGGGCUCUCUGUGUGUUACCUGGUAGUCCCGUACCCCUUCUCAAGCUUGGUCUCCACCUGAUGAUUCUUCUUGAGCUUGGAGGGCGCCCUUGGAGAAGGAGCCGCCCACAUCCCUCCAAGAACCCCCCCGCCCCACUGUCUCCUGUCUCUUUACCCAGUCCACCGCAGGCAUCUUUUUACGCAGCGCCUGAUUUCUUUUCCCACCUCCAAUUUCUGUCAGGUUUGGAUUUCAUCAGAGAAGGCAGGUCCUCCUGUUGCCCAGGUGUAAGCUCUUCCAAGAGCUUUCUUUGAGUCCCAGUCCCUCUCCUUGCUGCUGUUCGCUGUCCCUGAACAUGAACUUUGAGCUGGCUCAGCGUGCAGGGCCGUUUCCUGGGAGAUGAAGGCUUCUCCUACCCUGUGCUGAGUCUCAGCAUUCUGUCCUGCACGCUAGCACUCCCAGGGGGUGGGUUGGGGGUGCAGGGGUGGGAGUAGGGGGGCGACACAGGAUCAUUAUCCCCUCUUCCUGUCCUGCACUCCUGGUGGGGAGGCCCCAUAGAGAAGGAGCUGGAGUCCUCACUUCUUUGCUGUGUAUCCCGGAGCAAGUAACUUAACCGCUCUGUGCCCAAGAGUCUAGUUCUGUAAAAGGAAAGAAUAAAUCCUUCUUAAGUUGUCA
rnacentral:lncRNA from 1 species